AGCGAACGCUGGCGGCAUGCUUAACACAUGCAAGUCGCACGGGCAGCAAUGUCAGUGGCGGACGGGUGAGUAACGCGUAGGAACGUGUCCUGAGGUGGGGGACAACCCCGGGAAACUGGGGCUAAUACCGCAUAUGGGCUGAGGCCCAAAGCCGAGAGGCGCCUUUGGAGCGGCCUGCGUCCGAUUAGGUAGUUGGUGGGGUAAAGGCCUACCAAGCCUGCGAUCGGUAGCUGGUCUGAGAGGACGACCAGCCACACUGGGACUGAGACACGGCCCAGACUCCGACGGGAGGCAGCAGUGGAGAAUAUUGGACAAUGGGCGAAAGCCUGAUCCAGCAAUGCCGCGUGGGUGAAGAAGGUCUUCGGAUCGUAAAGCCCUUUCGACGGGGACGAUGAUGACGGUACCCGUAGAAGAAGCCCCGGCUAACUUCGUG
rnacentral:rRNA from 1 species